GGUAGGGUGGCUGAGUUAGGCGGUGGAUUGUAGCUCCACAGACAGAGGUUCAACCCCUCUUCCUAUCA
rnacentral:tRNA from 1 species